rnacentral:rRNA from 1 species
UACGAAGGGGGCUAGCGUUGCUCGGAAUCACUGGGCGUAAAGGGUGCGUAGGCGGGUCUUUUAGUCGGAGGUGAAAUCCUGGAGCUCAACUCCAGAACUGCCUUUGAUACUGAGGAUCUUGAGUUCGGGAGAGGUGAGUGGAACUGCGAGUGUAGAGGUGAAAUUCGUAGAUAUUCGCAAGAACACCAGUGGCGAAGGCGGCUCACUGGCCCGAUACUGACGCUGAGGCACGAAAGCGUGGGGAGCAAACAGG